AGUGAACGCUGGCGGUAGGCCUAACACAUGCAAGUCGAACGGCAGCACAGGAGAGCUUGCUCUCUGGGUGGCGAGUGGCGGACGGGUGAGGAAUACAUCGGAAUCUACUCUGUCGUGGGGGAUAACGUAGGGAAACUUACGCUAAUACCGCAUACGACCUACGGGUGAAAGCAGGGGACCUUCGGGCCUUGCGCGAUUGAAUGAGCCGAUGUCGGAUUAGCUAGUUGGCGGGGUAAAGGCCCACCAAGGCGACGAUCCGUAGCUGGUCUGAGAGGGUGAUCAGCCGCACGGGAACUGUGACACGGGCCAGACUCCUACGGGAGGCAGCAGUGGGGAAUAUUGGAAAAUGGGCGCAAGCCUGAUCGAGCCAUACCGCGUGGGUGAAGAAAGCCUUCGGGUUGUAAAGCCCUUUUGUUGGGAAAGAAAUCCAGCUGGCUAAUACCCGGUUGGGAUGACGGUACCCAAAGAAUAAGCACCGGCUAACUUCGUGCCAGCAGCCGCGGUAA
rnacentral:rRNA from 1 species